rnacentral:rRNA from 1 species
AACGAACGCUGGCGGCGUGGAUAAGACAUGCAAGUCGAACGGGAUUCCUUUCGGUAGCAAUACUGAGAGGAAUUUAGUGGCGAACGGGUGCGUAACACGUGGGCAAUCUGCCGAGAAGUGGGGGAUAGCUCGUCGAAAGGCGAAUUAAUACCGCAUAUGAUCAGCUAAGACAUCUUAGCGACAUCAAAGCCGGGGCAACCUGGCGCUUCUUGAGGAGCCCGCGGCCUAUCAGCUAGUUGGUGAGGUAACGGCCCACCAAGGCUUUGACGGGUAGCUGGUCUGAGAGGACGACCAGUCACACUGGAACUGAGACACGGUCCAGACACCUACGGGUGGCAGCAGUCGAGAAUUUUUCUCAAUGGGGCAACCCUGAAGGAGCGACGCCGCGUGGAGGAUGAAGGCUUUC